AUAUGCACAAAAAAAACAAACCAUAUUGCAAAAGACUGUGAUUGGCGUUACGCCGAUGACAAAAAUUCCCAGAAAAAGAAAGUUGCAGCUGCAGCCGACGUGUCUUAUGGCAUUGAUACCAACUGGUACAUGGACACGGGUGCCACCAACCACAUCACAGGCGAGUUGGACAGGCUGACUAUGCAUGAGAAAUAUCGUGGUCAUGAUCAAGUCUACAUUGCGGCAAACGGUGCAGGUAUAGAGAUAAGUCAUGUUGGUCAAUCCUUUAUCAAAACCCCACACAAAAACCUUGAAAUC
rnacentral:rRNA from 1 species